ACCCUAACACCUCUCAUUCUUCAUAAUUUACAUAACUGUACUUUUCCAUUUCAAAUCAAUACUCUACUUUUCUAUAUGCUUUUAACCAGUUACUCUUUCUCUCUCUUUCCUUUUCUCUGUAUCCCUUUCUCUUUUCCAUUCUAACCCUAGCGACUUCUUCACUACGAGCACGAUCAAAUCCACCGCAAAUUCAUUCAAUAUCUCAAGAAUUUGUUCAUUGAAAAUGGAUAUCUUAACCCAGUUUAGCGUUUAGGAAAAGUGUUGAUUUUGUGAGAAUUUCCAAGUUGAAAAGAAUGAAAUCUACAAGGAUCUCUGGUUUAAGAUUUGUAGGUAUUGCGUUUAUGGUUAUGAAGGCAAUGCAGUAGCACAUAACAAGAAAAUUGAGUCAGCUGGUACUGUGAAGUUUAUGGUUAAUAGGAAACUUUCGGCAUUACAAUUAGAACGACAAAGAGAUUCAAGGAAAAUUGAGUCAGCUGGUACUAUGAAGUUUUUCCAACUUGUAACAAGACUGGAAAAUCACCUAGCUUCCCUUUUGAACGCAACUGCUUCCCCGAGCUUGAGCAUGAAAACAAAGCUGACAACAUGGUCUUCUGGGACAAUGAAUGCAUACGAUAUGUUGGCAUGUCAACUUUUUCCUUAAUACAAAUUGUGAAGCAGAUUGGGGUUAAUGAAAGAGAGUUGUUUGGUCUUAAGGUCGUAAUCAAAUGCAUUGAAGAACAUAAGCUUGAUGAGCAGUAUCCUAUGGAUCCUCUCUAAAAUCAAGUGAUCCAACUAGAGAAGGCCAACGCCAACAAGAAGCGAGAGACUGAAGUAACAAAACCUAAACCAAAGAGGCCUCGUGCUAAUGGUGUCGGAUAUGGUCCUUAUGUCACUAACGUUCCUUCAGACAAAAUCUCCUAUGCUAGAGUUGCUGACAAGUACCCUCAAGUAUGUGUAUAACCAAUCUUAUAUGUACCCUGGCCCAACUGAAAAUCACUGCACCCCUUUCCCGAGUCUGUCAACCUAUAAUAAUGUCUCUUUUAAUCCUGGAAAUUACUUCGGAAACGGUUACCAGAAUCAAGCUACAUACCUCAACUAACUAACAUAGAUGUGGUAGGAAAGUGAGGUAGUGUGAAAGAUGUGAAAUGUAAUUAAGUUUAACAAACUUUAUGUUGCUCUAAAUACAAUGUUUAUCAACGCCUAAAGUUCUUAGACGAAAAUACAAUAACUAAUUUAUAAAACUGUCGUCUAUCAUAGUGUAUCCUUCUGCUAUGGUGAUAAAGUCCUUAUGCGGCAUCCAUGUGUAUACUCCUUUUUUCAUGUGUCAGUUCAAUUUUGGAAGUGAUGCUAUUUUGAGUGUAAGUAAAAAAAUAUUGACAAGAGUGUCAAUGAUAAUAUUCUAAAUAAUAUAUUGACUGAUCAUAAUGUCUCAGGAAAAGAAGUGAGUAUAUAUUGUGAGUGGGAUCAGGGUUGUUGUCAUAUCUGGAAAGUAUAAAAAAAAUAUAGUGCAUGGAUCACCCCUACACUUAAUUCCCAGGCAUUUCAGGUGAAACUGAUGAAUAUUUUGAGCAAAUUUUCAACUUUAUAAAAAGAAUACACAAGAUGUGA